rnacentral:rRNA from 1 species
UACGAAGGGGGCUAGCGUUGUUCGGAAUCACUGGGCGUAAAGGGCGCGUAGGCGGCCGAUCAAGUCGGGGGUGAAAGCCUGUGGCUCAACCACAGAAUUGCCUUCGAUACUGGUUGGCUUGAGACCGGAAGAGGUAAGUGGAACUGCGAGUGUGGAGGUGAAAUUCGUAGAUAUUCGCAAGAACACCAGUGGCGAAGGCGGCUUACUGGUCCGGUUCUGACGCUGAGGGACGAAAGCUAGGGGAGCGAACGGG